rnacentral:tRNA from 1 species
AGGAUAUAGUGUAUAGGUAGCACAAAGAAUUUUGAAUUCUUGGGAUUAGGUUCAAACCCUAUUAUCCUAG